GGGGGAGCGACGGGGCCGGCGCUCGCAGUGCUACGACACGGCCGUUUGCGCCGCCCCGUCCUUACCCGGCGGUGGGUACGGGGACGGGGCGGCUUAUUGGAGCUGCAGAAACGACCGCGGGCAGAAGCGCCGAGAAACGAACGGGAAACGUUUAAUCCACGAACGCACACAGCGACAAACAGAGAAACGACCGCGUUGCCAACCGGCUCCCGUACAAACGGCGACUCUGGAGGACGGCUCGGUGCCGGCGGGGGAUGGACAGGCCCCGCGCCGCCUUCCUCCGACCGCCCGGCGUCCCCGAGGCACGGGGCGGGCGGCGGCGCAGCGCCGCUUUCCCCGCACGGAGCCCCGCGGCUCCGCCGCCACUGCAGAAGGGGCCGGGCGCUGCGCGCGGGGUCCUUUCCGCCCGCUGUCGCGCCGUCAUUGCGUCAUCACCGCGCGUCCCGCAGGGCCCCGGCCCGGCUGCCCGCGGCGAUGCCUGCGGUUGUUGCGUUGCGGGAACUCAGCGCAGCCUGCAGAGAGCGGUCCGGCGGCACGGGAAGAUGGAGGCCGUGCGGUGCGAGUGCCUCAGCGGUGUGUGCAGCCCGCGAGGAGCCGAGCGGGGCCGGGAAGAGGAAGCCGUGAGAGUCCCGGGGAGGGACGCGCGAUGGCAGCGUCAGCGGCGGGCUCGGCUGCUGCCUCCUCCGCUCCUGACGCCGCGCGCUGGCGCACUUUGAGAAGCGCCCAGAAGCCGGAGCCCGCUGUCACAUCUGUGGGGUUCCACGGAACGCGCAGACGUGGGCUGCCAGCUGCUGGUGGACCUGAAUGAGAAGAGAUUGACCCAAAACUCGAAUGAUGAGGACAAUGCACGUCUGCUUUUCCUGCUUGAGAAAAUCCAACUGAAUGCCAGCUCACAGAGGAAGUAUUUUUCCAGAUAAACUCUCUGGGCAUGCUGUUCUCUCCUGGUUGAACCCAAAGGUUCCACCCAUGCAGAGGUUAUUCCUGUGCCCGUCUUCCAAAGCCCAGGCUCCAUGAAGGCACAGAUGAAGAUGCCAUCACUGACGGCUUGACCAAACUCAAUGCUUCCCAACGUCAGCGAGUUCUGAUCACCUACAAGAGCACUCCUGCAGGUAGGUGCUCUGCAGAGAUGUGUGAACGUGGUUGGGUCACUGGGUGAAAAGCGAAAAACGACCCAGCCUCCAUAAGAGAAAGGUCAGCAGAGACUUUACCUGGCCAAGGUUGUUUUGUUCCUGUUCAGUUCAGAGCAGUUGUUGAUGCAAGGAGGGUUGGAGCCUGAAGAGAAGUGGUGAGCAGCUCAGUUCCUUCUGUCCUCGAAGGCCGCACCUUCUGCCAGCUCCUUUCUCCUCUCUUGGCCUUCUAGGGUUUGAUCGAUGACUGGAAGUGACUUGAAGCUGAGUGGGAAUUCUGAGAGGGUGAUGAUUGGGAUGAUGACUGCCAGCACCGUGUGUGACGUGCAGAACUAAGGAGGGCUGUGAAGGUUUGGAAGUCUUCCUUUCGAAUGGCUCAAGUUCUGGCCAAGGACUUGCUGCUUUGUUAUGGAGCAGGAACAGGUGAAGGCUGCCUGAUUGAAAUUCUGGCUUCUCGCACCAGUGAAGAGAUUGGUCGCAUUGAUGAGAACUGCGAGCUUCGUAAGCAGAGCAAAAGGCCAGGCCUUGUCCUGCUGCCUGCCAUCAGUGUGUGUGUGUGCAGGCAGGCGUGAUAGGAAGGAGUCUGGGGAGCUUUCAGGUGUGACAAACUGGCCAACCUGGGUGUUGCUGUUUGUGCAGAGAGAAGCUAGACUGGAAUUUCAGCAGCAGCUGAGCUGGUGUAACUGAAAUGGGGAGGAGCAUUCUGUCUGUCAGCAGGACGUGUGGCUCUCUUGCCAGUUUCUUGCUGUCUGCGCUUCUUAAUUGGAGGCUGCAGCACUGAUGAUGAUGGCUGGAGCGCUGCAGUGAUGCUGAGAGCCCUGGGCCCAGCUCUGCACCCAGCAGGUGAUGGCUGGCAAAUGUUAUGGGCAGCACCCAGGCGGUGGCCCUGCUCCUCACGGGUGCUGUGUGUGUUCCUGCUGGAAGCUGGCUGCUCCCUUGAGGAUGGCGUCGUAUCUGACACAUCUGCCGUGUUCCCAAGGGUCCUCGUGUCCCUCGCGGCGCUGAGCCACGCUGAGGGAGAAGGGGCUGAAUGUUCAGAGCUGUGGGCACAGCUCUGCACUCGGUGGUGAGGAGCUCCAGGCUGGCUUUUUCUCACCCUGUGCGUCCCAUGGCUGCUCCUCAAGCCCAGCUUCUGCAGGGAGGGGGCUCUGACUCUGGGUGUGUGUGAGUGCUGUGGGCUCUUCUUUAAACAUGCCAGUAAAGUGGGUUGCUGCUCG